GAUUUAUAAAGAAGAGGCGAGAGACAGGCUUUAAGACCCUCUGGCAACCUGGAAAAUCCAAGGUGCCAAUUCCUGCCAGUUGAACAUAUUGUCAACUGGAAAUAUAAAUU
rnacentral:ncRNA from 2 species